rnacentral:rRNA from 1 species
UACGGAGGGUGCAAGCGUUAUCCGGAUUCACUGGGUUUAAAGGGAGCGUAGGCGGGCAGGUAAGUCAGUGGUGAAAUCUUCGAGCUUAACUCGGAAACUGCCAUUGAUACUAUCUAUCUUGAAUAUUGUGGAGGUAAGCGGAAUAUAUCAUGUAGCGGUGAAAUGCUUAGAGAUGACAUAGAACACCUAUUGCGAAGGCAGCUUACUACGCAUAUAUUGACGCUGAGGCUCGAAAGCGUGGGGAGCAAACAGG